GAAGAGAUAAAGGAGUACAGUGAAAUUUUUCGAGGGUUUUUUUUAUGCCGCUUGAAAGAAAAAUAGAAAAAAAGGUCUACCACCAAAUAAGAUGAUAAUUAGAGGUGUGUAUGAUAUUUUCCUAAAAAAUAAAGAAAUUCGGUGCUUCGACCAAUUUGGGAGAAUAUUUUGGAUUUUUUAAAAUUAAAUAUAUAAAUUACAUAUUUAUAUAUAUAAUGUAUAAAAACAAUGGAAGAGGUUGAUGCAUCUCUUUGCUUUGGUUUAUGCUUAAAAUACGAAGUCGACCGAAGCGAAACUAAUUGCUCUUAACAAUCAAAUUAGAGCGCAACUCAAAAAUUUCUCUAGAAGAAGUUGUUUUGAUGCCCAAAUAUCCUCAAAUUGAUUAUCUCGACAUCAAGAUGUAUGGACAUGAGAAAAAAAAUUUCAGGUUUUGAAAAUAUAAGUCUUGUAAGGUAUUUUUGGACGGUCAAAUUUCACGAUUUUCAGGUUUUUAUAGAUAUGCUCGAUUUGCACUAUUUUUGAAGCUUUAAAUUUUAUAAUUGGAGAUAAAAAUAUAUUUUAAGGCUAUCACAAAGAUUUCCAGUAUUGAAACCACAUUUCUCGAUACUAUUUGAAGGUGCGCUCUAUUUUGAUUAUUUAGAGCCUUGACACUAUACAAACCACACCCAUUUAAUUUUAGGAGAAUUAACUCUAGCGGUUUUUUGGGAAUUAAAAAAAAUACAAAAUAGGAUUAAAAGGGUUUUUAAAUUGAGAUGAAAUAAAACAAUUUGUUGGGGCUAAUUUUUUUGGCCAAAAGUGAAUAAACGUAUGAGAGAAGAGAUAAAGGAGUACGGUGAAAUUCUUCGAGGGUUUUUUUUUUGCCGCUUGAAAGAAAAAUAGAAAAAAAGGUCUACCAUGAAAUAAGAUGAUAAUUAGAGGUGUGUUAAUAUUUUCCCAAAAAAUAAAGCAAUUCGGUACUUCGACCAAUUUGGGAGAAUAUUUUGGAUUUUUUAAAAUUAAAUAUAUAAAUUACAUACUUAUAUAUAUAAUGUAUAAAAAUAAUGGAAGAGGUGGAUACUUCUCUUCGCUUUGGUUUAUGCUUAAAAUACGAAGUCGACCGAAGCGAAACGAAUUGCUCUAAACAAUCAAAUUAGAGCGCAACUCUAAAAUUUCUCUAGAAGAAGAUGUUUUGGUGCCCAAAUAUGCUCAAAUUGAUUAUCUCGACAUCAAAAUGUACGGACAUGAGAAAACAAAAUUUCAGGUUUUGAAAAUAUAAGUCUUGUAAUGUAUUUUUGGACGGUCAAAUUUUACGAUUUUCAAGUUUUUUUAGAUAUGCUCGAAUUGCACUAUUUUUGAAGCUUUAAAUUUUAUAAAUGGAGAAAAAAAUAUAUUUUAAGGCUAUCACAAAGAUUUCCAGUAUUGAAACCACAUUUCACGAUACUAUUUGAACGUGCGCUCUAUUUUGAUUAUUUAGAGGCUCGACUCUUUACAAGCCACCCCCAUUUAAUUUUAGGAGAAUUAACUCUAGCGAUUUUUUGGGGAUUAAAAAAUAUACAAAAUAGGAUUAAAAGGGUUUUUAAAUUGAGAUGAAAGAAAACAGUUUGUUGGGGCUAAUUUUUAUGGCCAAAAGUGAAUAAAUGUAUAAGAGAAGAGAUAAAGGAAUACAGUGAAAUUCUUCGAGGUUUCUUUUAUGCCGCUUGAAAGAAAAAUAGGAAAAAAGGUCUACCAUGAAAUAAGAUGAUAAUUAGAG
rnacentral:lncRNA from 1 species